rnacentral:rRNA from 1 species
UACGUAGGGGGCAAGCGUUGUCCGGAUUUAUUGGGCGUAAAGAGCGUGUAGGCGGCCAGGUAGGUCAGCUGUGAAAACUCGAGGCUCAACCUCGAGCUGUCGGCUGAAACCAUCUGGCUAGAGUCCGGAAGAGGAGAAUGGAAUUCCCGGUGUAGCGGUGAAAUGCGCAGAUAUCAGGAGGAACACCGGUGGCGAAGGCGGUUCUCUGGGCAUUACCUGACGCUGAGGAGCGAAAGUGUGGGGAGCGAACAGG